AAAUCUUGACAUCCUCUGACCCCUCUAGAGAUAGAGUUUUCCCCUUCGGGGGACAGAGUGACAGGUGGUGCAUGGUU
rnacentral:rRNA from 1 species